GUUUUUAAAAUCUACGACGUGUCCUUUGCCAUCAGUCAGCAUACCAUCAUCAAGGAGUUGGCUAAAAACCUUGAAUAUUGAGGGAUCUGCCUUAUCCACCUGGUCGAAAAGGACAAUGCUGUAUGGGCACCUCUUGACUUUCUCGGAAGCCAGGAAGCGUGGGAGAAUCAAACCUUCGAGGUCCCCCAAUGAGGCGCGACACAGACCCACUCUCAGCAUAUUCCGACAUAUCAAAGCGGAUCAACGCCUUCUCAUUGUCAAAUAUCCUCUCGGCGAGAGCUUUUGCUAGUUCUGUUUUUCCAACACCAAGCGGUCCCAAAAAGAGGAAUGAACCUAUCGGUCGGCUAGAUCGACCAAAACCAACCCUAGAACGUAGCACCGCUUGCGCAACCAAAUUGACCGCUUCAUCCUGACCGACGACUCGCUCAUGCAAUUUUUC
rnacentral:rRNA from 1 species